rnacentral:tRNA from 1 species
AAAGAAAUAUUUGUAUAAAAGCUUCUAACUUUUUAAAAAGCAUUAAAUUGUUUAU